rnacentral:rRNA from 1 species
GACGAACGCUGGCGGCGUGCUUAACACAUGCAAGUCGAGCGGUAAGGCUCCUUCGGGAGUACACGAGCGGCGAACGGGUGAGUAACACGUGAGUAAUCUGCCCCUCACUUCGGGAUAAGCCUCGGAAACGAGGUCUAAUACCGGAUACGAACACGUCUUUCAUGAGAUGGUGGUGGAAAGUUUUUCGGGGGGGGAUGUGCUCGCGGCCUAUCACCUUGUUGGGAGGGUAAUGGCUUAACAAGGCUUCGACUGGUAGCCGGCCUGAGGGGGUAGCCGGCCACACUGGGACUGAGACACGGCCCAGACUCCUACGGGAGGCAGCAGUGGGGAAUAUUGGACAAUGGGCGGAAGCCUGAUCCAGCAACGCCGCGUGAGAGAUGACGGCCUUCGGGUUGUAAACCUCUUUCAGUACCGACGAAGCGAAAGUGACGGUAGGUACAGAAGAAGCACCGGCCAACUACGUGCCAGCCGCCGCAGUAAUAC